rnacentral:lncRNA from 1 species
UGUGGAAAAAACAUGGCAGAUGGGGAAGAGUCAUACCAGAAAAGUAAAAGCAGCAACAGCCACAAAUAAAAGCUAAUGUUGUUUGGGAAAAUGAUGCAAGUGGUUACUGACCAAAUUUUUGGAGAAGUAUCUAACACUACUGGAUUUCACAGGAAAAAGAAGGGAAAAAAGCAUCCUACAUGACUUCACUGCAGUAGAGAGGUGACAGCACACAUGACUUAGGAGCAGAAAUCCCUUUAAACAGCAGGAACUGUGCUUAGCUCUGCCAGAAGUUAGAAAAGAGGCUGUUUGUCUGAAGAGACGAGGGUGUGGUAAAAAUACGCUGUGCCAGUCAAGUCGACCAAAAUACAAUCUGAAUUACAAAGCAAGCUGGAAAACAAAAUUUAACAGAAGAUCUGGACCCCACCUGUGCCCUCCCAGGAGGGAUGGAAAGAAAAGGACUCCUGGGACCUGCACAUGCACAGCUCCCUGCAGGUUCAUCCAAAUGAUCGUGAAAUUCCUGAGAAAGUUAUUACUUUCAAGUCACAGUAACAGAGUAAUUUCCAGAUCUACCAAAAUCAGACUGAAAGACACGUGGAAGUACAGAAUCUCCCCAAGGAGCUCAGCCAGAGGGAUGCAUGAGUCCACAGCUUUGUGA